rnacentral:tRNA from 1 species
GCCUCCGUAGCUCAGGGGAUAGAGCAACUGAUUCCUAAUCAGUAGGCCACAGGUUCGAUUCCUGUCGGGGGCGCCA